GAUGAACGCUGGCGGCGUGCCUAAUACAUGCAAGUCGAGCGAACGGACGAGAAGCUUGCUUCUCUGAUGUUAGCGGCGGACGGGUGAGUAACACGUGGAUAACCUACCUAUAAGACUGGGAUAACUUCGGGAAACCGGAGCUAAUACCGGAUAAUAUUUUGAACCGCAUGGUUCAAAAGUGAAAGACGGUCUUGCUGUCACUUAUAGAUGGAUCCGCGCUGCAUUAGCUAGUUGGUAAGGUAACGGCUUACCAAGGCAACGAUGCAUAGCCGACCUGAGAGGGUGAUCGGCCACACUGGAACUGAGACACGGUCCAGACUCCUACGUGAGGCAGCAGUAGGGAAUCUUCCGCAAUGGGCGAAAGCCUGACGGAGCAACGCCGCGUGAGUGAUGAAGGUCUUCGGAUCGUAAAACUCUGUUAUUAGGGAAGAACAUAUGUGUAAGUAACUGUGCACAUCUUGACGGUACCUAAUCAGAAAGCCACGGCUAACUACGUG
rnacentral:rRNA from 1 species